UCCUUAGUGGCUCAGAGGGUAAAGAUUCUGCCUGCAAUGCAGGAGACCCAGGUUCGAUCCCUAGGUUGGGAA
rnacentral:tRNA from 1 species